AUGUCGUCGGUCGAGCUGUUUCAUUUAAAGGCGCCGCGGAGGAUUUCAACCCCAACACCGGGAGGAGGACGGCGGCGAGGACCGGGACCGGAGCUCUCGAGACCCGGACUCUGUGAGUAGAUCAUCCCCCUCUUCUUCCUCUUCCUCCUCUUCCUCCUCCUGUCACCACUUCCUCCAGGAACUGUGCGUCUCCAUGCACUUUCUGCCCCGCACCAUGCACCCACCAUGCACGCACCAUCUGCUGCGUGCAUUGCCUCUCUCUCUUUUACUCUGCGGCCAAUGAGAAUUAUGCACGACCGUGAUUUGACUACUGCGAUGUCGUGCGCACUUUCCAACGUUACCCGGAAAUAAGCGACGUGUUUGCUCUCAGCUGUUUCCUUGUCAAAAAAGAAAAAGAAAACAGAACCUGUCUGUGCGCAUUUGGAGCUCAUUUUUCUCCGGAGCCAGAGAGAGGGAUGGAGUGAUGGUUAGAUGGAAGGAUGGAGGGAGGGAGAGAUAGAUGGAGGGAUGGAGGUGCGUGCCGCAGGAGGAUGUUGCGCACUUGGUUUUUACCUCUGGACUGAGCUACCCGGGUGCUGCGUAAUGGUUCUAAUGUGCGUGGUACCUGCGCGUGUCGUCGAUGUUCACCUCAGCUUCUAUCUGUUUGUGAUGAAGACUCGUUUAUUUGCUUCCUCUCAUUUUUAAGGAGCAGGAAAAGAAGUUGGAUUAAGUUACAGGUACUUUAAAUUACUGUACUUUAAAAAAAAAACUAAAAAAACAACAGGAAUCUGUAUGUUUAUGCUUUUUCUUUCUGGAAAUGUAUAUAUGUAUAUGUACAUAUAUAUAUAUACUACUUACUUUUAAAUUGUGACAGUAUUAUAUAUGUCAGUAUCCUGUUGUGUAUAAUAUACCUGCUAAAUAUUCAGUUUUUUAACAAUAACAUAUUUCAAAGAAAUGUAAAAAUAAGUUACCACUUCAUUCAAGAAUCUUUUGUUGUGUCAACACCUGAAGUUUAUAUUACGUAAGAUUGUUUUUCCUCAUUGUUCCAUAUGCAGAAAUAUGUUUCCCUUCUAUGAGUUUGAAGUUUUCUUAAACAUAUUGUUAUAAUUAGUGUUAUUGAUUCCUCCUCAGUCUGGUUUUGAUUGUUUUAAUGGGAAGCUGUGGCGUCCUGCGCAUGCGCCUCGACUCUGCUCCAUCCAGAGGUUUCUAUGUCAUACGCACUUUUUAUUCCUGAUGUAAACAAACCCUCUGAAGAGCAGUUCCCUCUUCCGACACAGGGCGGCGUGCUCCUGCAGCUUUGACGCACUGAACAUGAAGUAUCAGACACAUUGUUGUUGGAAUGAGUCAGAUUUAUUUUUCCAGGGAAAGAACAUCUACCGGUAAACGAGAAUGAGUUGUUCUUUUCUUUUGGUGAGAUUCCCAGUAACUCCCUCUCCACAGGCGGAUUGACACAUCUGUUGUUGUCUCACAUCGUCACAUUUGGAUUCGCAUGUUUGAGAGAAACAGAAAUGAAACGUAUUAGAGAAUCGAACAAAACCAGAUCAGGCUUUUUCUUCUUCCUCUCCAGAUAAAUAUUGCUGUUCUCGUUUUUUUGUUUUGUUGUUUUUACAGAGGGAAAUGAGGUGCUGCUUUAGUCUCUCUCUCUCUCUCUCUCUCUCUAAGGUAAGAGCCAGUGCACGUCAUGGAAAACCAGCAAUAUUUACCGUUCAAGAAACAGCACAACAGCUCACUGUUUAUAUCAUGUUUAAACUUUAAAUCCAAGGUGUGGCCAGUUGUCAAAGUGUCACAAUUCUAAUUAAAUGAAAUUAGUUUAUAUUUAUGUUUUGAAAUGUCCUGAGAUGAUAAUAAUAAUAAUAAUACCUGGGGUUUUCUCAGGACCUGCUGCUGCGACGUCUCUUCCUUCUCAGUCGACACGACCACAAGCUGAAGACGUGGCCCCUGCAGAUGGGGGGGGGGGGGGUGGUAAUGACAGAACAUGAUCACUGUUUACUGUCAACACACUGUAAAUACACAACAACAUGUCAUGUGUUUUUAUUAAAUGCACGUGUGUGAGCGUUUGGGGUCCAGGCCCGUUGAUUCCCAUACGGCCCCAAAAAACAGUGAUAUUUGAACGGAGCCGACUUGGCCCUUCUCCAGGGGAGAGAUUAAGGUUUAGGAAGUGGAACGAGCAUGGUUGAUAGAUGACACGGCUAAAAUUAACACACUGCCCGCUGGACGAGGAGCAUAAAUAGCAGACGGGAAGGAGCAGCACGUGGAUGUAUCUUUUAAAGCUGCAGCACGUCUCCGUCAGCAUAAACACAAACCACAGUCACAGUAAAGCUUCCUGUUUGCGGCGACAGGCUGCAGAGCGAUUGGGUGUCUGGCUCUAGAUGAAGAGAAGGAACCAGCACAUGAGCUCAGUCGGGGUCUAAGCAUUAAAUGUAACGUGGCGCGUGGAGAAAUACCUUUUUUUUUAGAAUGCGUGUUGGUGCAGUGAUCUCCUGCAGGACACACACACGUAGAGACUGAGGAGAGGAUUCGCCUCAAUCCUCGGAUCAAUACUCGGGUUCUGCUCUGAGCAAACGGGCUUUGAUCCCUGAGAUCUCUUGUGUUUCCUGUGUAGCUCGGGGGGGGGUGAAAGCUGAUUCUGUUAGCGCUGCUCUUCUUUCUCGGUCCCUGUAAGGUGAAGCUCGGGGCUUUGUAUCCUCCGACUCCGGUGGGGAACUUGCACGUCACAAGGCUACAAGUAAUUUUUUUAGGUAAGAAAAUGUCCAGCCACUAGAUGAAAAUCUAGAUAUGAGCCAAGAGGAUAAAGAAAGUUAUUAUUUUUGUUUUUAAAGGAUGUUUCGUGACAACUCAGCCGUUUGAAUUAUCCUUGAGUUAUCUGUCAAUCCUUUUCAGAGCCGAGGUUUGGUCGGCGAGGCCGCGCUGCUGCUGCUGCUGCUGCUGCUGCAGCAUUUGAGAUUUUCAUAACAAACCGUAUUUCCUCUAUUCUUCCAAACUCAAAAAAGAGAGAGAGAGAGAGAUAUGAAUUAUUGAUAAAGGCACUUGUUGAAUGCAAACAUUAUGUGUCUCUAUAACAGACGGCUGAGCUGCUCCAGACAGAAACUUUAUUUAUCUUUUGAACACUGACACAAAGCUCUCGUUUCAGAUUGGCACGUGAAAGGGACUUUAUGCUCGAGGAACGCAGCCUGUCCAGAACAGAUUGUUCCUCUCAGAGCCGUGAAGGACGCCGUGGUGCUGCCCUGGUAUUUACACCAGGAACUUUGGGGCUAAUUCGAUUGAGGAUAUUGUUUUUCAACCUAAUUGCGGAUUAUUGACAAAUAGACUUUUUACUCUCCACACGGUGCUGGAGUUAGUUGCAUUAAAUUCAAAUAUUUAAAUCGUGAAUUAUUCUGUGUUUUUUUGGUGUUGACCUGACGAAUUGUGUUUCUGUCCUUUUUGUCUUCCCACAGCUCCGUCAUGAAAACUCAUCCGAUCAAAGGUACGUGAGGAAUCAAAUGAAACUGCAAAGGCCCCACAUUCUUAAAAUAAACUCUGCUAAUGUUUGACUGAACCAAAACAGACUAUUUAUAAGACAGGGACACAGUCAUUUUAAAGACACAGCAACUUCCCUCUAACAUUUCACACAAUGCAAAGUGUUGUACAACCACGUAAUGGUUAACAGAUACAGGUUUUUUAUAUUCUCGUGAUUUUGUUAAGAUUUGUGACAUUUUAAAACCAGACGGUCGUGUUGUUUGGAGCAGAGAUAAAGGAUUGAACUGGUGUUUGUCUCCUUUGGAUGAGGUCGCAGGCAGGAAACAACAAGAGCUGAAAGAGGAAGAACGUGUGGUCGGCCUAUUCAUGGUAAAUCUCCUCACACGCUUUGUUCUUUUCUAUGCUAGUUCUAUUCAGGAAGUAAGAAGUACUGAACACUGAAUGAGGAGCAGAAUCCAGAAAUCACUGUAUCAGCCGUCAUAUGUUUGUUUUUUAAACAAACAACAACAACGUAUAGAUGUUUAUAGAUAAGCAUUUCUUCCGGUGGAGCUGUAGAGACGAGCGGAGUCUCUCGUUAGACAGUAUUUGAAAAGCCAAAACUCCAUUUGAGCGCUUAUGCAACCGAUACAUAAGCUGGUGAUGUGCCUUUAAAACCAGUGGGUUGUCAGGUGAUCGAGGAGGCUCAGUCGGCUCAGCCUCGCAGACAGAGGAGCCAGAGUGUGUCUCUCAGAGAGGAGGUUAGCGGAGAGCCAGAGAGACCAAUUAUCGGGGGACAUGGGGGGAAAUGGGGACACAGCGGCGGCACAGAGUGGGGGCCAGGGAGCCGUGGUGGUAGGGUCCCUUUUACUGCAGUCUGCUCAUGCUGUCUUCCCUUGUGUGGCUGCGAGCAAGCGUGUGUUUCUGCCUCAGCUUGAUCACUACGCUGCGUUGUGCAGCCACAACCCUGGUAUGAAAGUGCAGAGAAUUAAGUGCUGCGUCACACUCAGGAAGAGGAAUAGUGUGAUCAUGCGCACAUGUGCACGGCCGUGUGUGCAUGCGCACGUACAUAUGCAUUUCUGUGUGGUCCGCUCCAUUUCUGUGUCUGUGUGCUAGUUCGAAGCAGCAGCAGUGUUAAUGGCUGAUCUGGAAGCAGAUGAAAAUAAAGAGUGCGUGUGUUUGAGAGGUAAGCAGAAAGCGAGAGGGGGAGACAGAGAGACGGAGGGAGAGCAAGUCAGAGAGAGAGAGAGAGAGAGGGGAGGGAGAGAGAGACAGAGAGAGAGAGAGAGAGAGAUUUUGGAUUAGUUGCUACGUCACUUUUUCAUGUUGGGAGAAACAGGAGCUGAGAUAGAAGAAGCCCAGAUUCAUGGAGUUUUCCACCUGAAGUGGUUUCGGACAAGCUCGGCUUUCUCCUCUUCCUCUUCCUCCUUGGUAGUUCUGAUCUGCUCUGCCUCUCGCUACUAUAUAUAUAUAUAUGUGUGUGUCUGUGUCUGUGUGUGUGCGCAGUGUAGUUCCUGUGUGAGCUGGUAUUGGGAGUUUCAACAUGGAUGCUGAAGAUGGCUCAGUGUCUCUAGGUCUGCUGGGCCGAGGUGCGACAGAGCGGUUAACACAAAGAAUAUUCUGGAGGAUUCUUAAUCAUCAAGUCGAUCGGAGAGCGGACGCGUUUCUACCGGGGGGGCGAGAGAGAGGAGAGGAUCCAUCGAGGUCCCGGCUGCAGCUGCAGGGCGGUGAAUCAUACUUCCGUCUCGAGCCGGAGAGUCGAACGUCUCAGAGUGCAUUACGUUUAAGGUCCAUGGUGUCUGAAGUCAUCUCGGCCUGCUGGGAAACAACCACGACAGCUUCACUACCAAGUAAAUCGUCAUUAAUACAAUCAUAAAGGAAACAUGUUGUGGUUUCUCAGUGUCCGCUACCAUCCGUCCUGUCCCGAUACUAAUUCUGUUACCUGGAUUUUUCCAUACUGACCCCGUGUGGCAGAGAUUGUUAAAAUCAAAUAAUUGAAGAGACUGAGUAACACACGCUUCACUAUCGGUACUUCUUCGUGGCAGUGAAAAAAGCUCAACUUCUGUUUUGGAGCUGUGAAAAGAAAACCACAGUUAUAUCGGGGUUAAACAAAUAUAUUUUAAAGACGUGGUAUUGGAAUGGUACAUAGAUUUAAAUAGAGGGUAGUAUUGGAGGCGUUUCCGAUACUUGCUGGUAUCAGUACGGGAUCAGCGCUAACGUUGACUCACAUUUGCAUGAAGCACGCUCUCCUUAAAAAAAGCCCAAUAAAAAGAGAGCAGAGGGCCGACAUUUUCUACACUGUCGACCAAUCACAACAGAGUGGGCUGACCGGCCAAUCAGAUCAGGAGAGCGGCCUUAAAAGAGACAGGAGCUGAAAGUGUUUCUGACAGAGGCUGCAAAGAGGAGCUGCAGCGAUGGGCAGUGAGAGGAAAGUUUUUACCUAAAACAAUUCAAGUAAUAACACAAAUUUAAAACUGAAAACAAGCAGAUUGUCUCCUUUUAUUGUUCUAUUUACAAAUGGUCAAGUCUACGGAUGAACUGAGUUAUGAAACCACAACGUCUGCCUCUCUCUGAUCUUAGUUAACAGUCGAAUCAUCCAAUGUUUUCGAAUGCGUAUCAUUAGUUUUGGCCGCUGGCUUCUUUAAUCACUCACAUCUGUAAACAAAGUAUUCUGUAAGAGAUGGAUGCUCGUGAGAUAGAAAAGAUCAGUUUGUCAACGCUUAAUAAAAAUCUGUUAAAUCUCGACGUCCCCGAAGUCGUGUUUUUUAAAGUAAAGAGAGAAAGCUGCAAUCUACCUGGAGCAACUUGAAUUAGUUUAAAAGUUUUCCCCAGAUCCCAGAACACAUUUAGUCUUCUGGAAAAUAUGAAUUCCUAAUAUCUAAAAACGUGUGUGUGUGUGUGUGUUGCAGAUUUGUAAGUCGGGGCUGUCCCUCGAGUCGCUGCUUCAUAUCCACGGUAUCUUUCCGAGGCUCUUUGUUAAUUACGCUUCAUGCAGCUACUGAGCCACGCGUCUAUCUGCCGCUGUAUCUGAACCACUCUGUUCUUGUUCUCUCGAAUCUUUUUUGUUUCAGUUUCUUCGACGGAAGUGUUUCUUGGAAAGGCCUUCGUGGGAUCGCCGCUCGUACCACAUCCACGACAACGGAGAAUCACUACUUGUUACACAGGGUUGAUUUCCCCUUUGUGAUCUUUCUGUGAAGGUUCCAUCGAGGGUGUUUGGUGCCCCCCUUGGAAGCUGGUUUCAGAUGGUGGCUUAGAGUAUCGUCACCUAUCUAGCACCAUUUGAAAUCAGUGUUCUUGGGGUGGGAUGUGUUUCACUGAGCAGCAGCAGGAGGCCACGAAGGGUCACAGCAGGUUUCUGGUGAUGAAGGUAAAAGAGACGUCGUCACCAGUCCAGCGUCGCUCCGUGAAGCGCCACCUGGUGGUCAACCACCCGUGGCUCUGCGGGGACAGCUCAAGCUCUUUGUCCUAUCUCCAAGGUUGACCGAUUUCUUUUGGUGUUCAGAGUCUACUAUUGUUUCUAGCACCAUUUGAAAUCGGUUACAGUGAAGGACAGAUCUCGUCUCACCUCGAUGUGGAGUUUGUAACCGAGCUGUCUCCAUUUUGCUGCGGAAACUUCGAAGUUACACAAUUUAAAGAAAGGAAGUAAUUUAGUUCUCAAACAGUUCAGGAUCACUCACUGAAAUAUGGAUUGUUAUUUGACAGGGGAGGGAGAUGAAUCAAAUAUUUGUUUGGGGUUAAAUGAUGACAAUGACAUAUAUAUUCUAUAUUUUAGUGAUAGCGGCAAAAUGUUGUUUUAUAUCUAGAAUUUAAAAGAAACAUCUCUUAUGCAAGUGGUUCUUCUCACAGUGAUGUCAGGAUAACAGGUGUCGUGUUAAAAGUAAAAUAUUUGCACUUAAUGAAAUGUUUUUAUAAAAGUAAUUUAAGCGGUUUUUGAGUAAUUGGAUUGUUUGGUACUGUAAAAUAAAAUAUUGCAUUAGAGAAUUGUGGUUUGUAUUAUUCAAAUGUUGUUGGAAGGCAUUCACAUGUGUAGAGAAUGCAUUCAAUGGAUUCCUUACAUUUUUAAAGUAGCUAGUGUUUCCUUGUAAUUGUCUCCUAAUUUUUGUUUUUGUUUUUAAUGUAUUUUUUUUAAAGCUUUGGGACCAAGAGACUUGUGGUUCAAGAAAACAUUGGAAAAAUGUGGGUCAAACAUGAAGCGAUGAGCAAAGCUUGUGCAAAAUAAAGAUAACAAAGAAGUAUCGUAAACACUUUUAUUUCAUCCAUGUAUACAAAAUAUUUUAUGGCAAAUUUACACAAAACUACUAAUUUCUCUUUUGAUAAAUAAAUAAAAAGUUGAGCAGGUGCUAAAACCUUUACAAAUCACAUUCUUUACAUCUCGAUGUAGCCACCAUUAAAACGUGUAACACUGGAAGCAUUCCUGUUCCUCACAGUAGAGUGGGGAAUUUGUUCAGACUCUUGCGAAUAUAUGACAUCUCAUAAUUUAGUAGAGUCACGAUUAGGCCUCAUUAGCUAACAGUUAGCAGUUGAAAAAGGUCUGUUUGGGAUAAGGCAUUUAAAACACACCACACGUUCGACAGGCACGAGGCUCGAUCCCACCUUUCUGAAAGGACUGGUUUAUCGGCUCGGAGCCCCUCCCUCUACGAGGGGUGCCAUCAAUAUCUACUUCCGUUACAAGCUUUGUUUGAAACAAGUGACCGAUAUAUUCGAUUGGUUCUUCAGCAUCACACUUAAAAGGUUAUUUAAACAGAGCGGUUGUAUUUUUUGAAAAGGUGAUUAGUGCAUACAUUCAGUUUUUUCUACAGUGGCCUGAGCUGUGCUCUUGAG